GUAAAGUUGAAGAAAAAAAUAAGUUUGGUAGUGUUCUUACCAUAUGGCAGAAAACAGCAGUUAUUCUGAUGGUCAUUAUUACAAGUGUGGUUGCUAAGAUUAUUGAAAACGUAUUGUUUGUUCCCUGUUCAAAGAGCUAGAAUCUUAAGGCAGCUUUCCAUUCUUUUCCUUAAUUUCACCCCUCAGAUUCUGUCACACACUGGCAAAAACAUAUUGGCAUUUUGGGGGAAGGGAUCCACUGAGGCGACACUUUUGGUGUAUCAAGUAUAUAAGGUUUGCACUCAAGACUGACAUUUACCGUAAUGGAAGCUGUUCAUAUGCCCCCAGGAAAGAAUGAACAAUUUAAUAGAAAAUGCUAAAGGAGUGAUAUUAGGAAAAAAUCAAUAAAUGUUACUGAUGCUAUCGUCAUCAUCAUCAUCAUCAUCAUUAUCAUCAUCAUCAAGGUCAUGACAGAAAGAGGACACAUUACAUGAAAUCUCAACUUCAUCCCUGGGCCAUGCACACCUGUAGCUAAUUUUUGUAUCUUUCUAUUUGAGUUCGGGUUUCGCAUCGUUUUGUCCCACACAACAGAAGCUGAUCUCCAAAGAGAGGAAUGAUGUAGCCUCAAGUAACAAAGACAUUGAGGGAAGUCUUUCACAUCCUGGGAUGCCUGUGGCCCAGCACAGAGGGCUGUUGGGUUGCCAACACAGAGUUUACCCCUCAGGUGUCUGUAAUUGGGUAAAGAGAGGUGAAGUUUAGCAUGUG
rnacentral:lncRNA from 1 species